rnacentral:rRNA from 1 species
UACGUAGGGGGCGAGCGUUGUCCGGAUUCAUUGGGCGUAAAGCGCUUUGAGGCGGUUCGCUAAGUCGGGUGUGAAACCUCCAGGCUCAACCUGGAGACGCCACUCGAUACUGGCGUGACUAGAGUUCGGUAGGGGACCACGGAAUUCCUGGUGUAGCGGUGAAAUGCGCAGAUAUCAGGAGGAACACCGGUGGCGAAGGCGGUGCUCUGGGCCGGAACUGACGCUGAGGAGCGAAAGCGUGGGGAGCAAACAGG